rnacentral:rRNA from 1 species
UACACUCCUACGGGAGGCAGCAGUGGGGAAUAUUGGACAAUGGGCGCAAGCCUGAUCCAGCCAUGCCGCGUGAGUGAUGAAGGCCCUAGGGUUGUAAAGCUCUUUCACCGGUGAAGAUAAUGACGGUAACCGGAGAAGAAGCCCCGGCUAACUUCGUGCCAGCAGCCGCGGUAAUACGAAGGGGGCUAGCGUUGUUCGGAUUUACUGGGCGUAAAGCGCACGUAGGCGGACUAUUAAGUCAGGGGUGAAAUCCCGGGGCUCAACCCCGGAACUGCCUUUGAUACUGGUAGUCUUGAGUUCGAGAGAGGUGAGUGGAAUUCCGAGUGUAGAGGUGAAAUUCGUAGAUAUUCGGAGGAACACCAGUGGCGAAGGCGGCUCACUGGCUCGAUACUGACGCUGAGGUGCGAAAGCGUGGGGAGCAAACAGGAUUAGAUACCCCAGUAGUCC